AUUGAACGCUGGCGGCAGGCCUAACACAUGCAAGUCGAGCGGAUGAAGGGAGCUUGUUCCUGGAUUCAGCGGCGGACGGGUGAGUAAUGCCUAGGAAUCUGCCUGGUAGUGGGGGAUAACGUCCGGAAACGGGCGCUAAUACCGCAUACGUCCUGCGGGAGAAAGUGGGGGAUCUUCGGACAUCACGCUAUCAGAUGAGCCUAGGUCGGAUUAGCUAGUUGGUGGGGUAAAGGCCUACCAAGGCGACGAUCCGUAACUGGUCUGAGAGGAUGAUCAGUCACACUGGAACUGAGACACGGUCCAGACUCCUACGGGAGGCAGCAGUGGGGAAUAUUGGACAAUGGGCGAAAGCCUGAUCCAGCCAUGCCGCGUGUGUGAAGAAGGUCUUCGGAUUGUAAAGCACUUUAAGUUGGGAGGAAGGGCAGUAAGUUAAUACCUUGCUGUUUUGACGUUACCAACAGAAUAAGCACCGGCUAACUUCGUG
rnacentral:rRNA from 1 species